rnacentral:lncRNA from 1 species
UCCCUUCUCCUCCUCUCCUAAGUUUCUAUCUUAGAAAUAAAUUUCAGAAGUGAUACAAUUGGAAGAACGUGGAAGAACGGCAGUCUAUCAGCAGAACAAAUGCACCGUCAGAUCCAAGAGUGGAGCAAUUACUACUCACAGAUUCUUAUGAAAAAGCAACAAUGAAUAAAACUCCUCUAACCACCAGGACGGCUGCUACCCACUUCAUGGUUACAACCAAAGACAGGAUCAGAGUGAGGCGAUCACUGAGCAUGACAUCAGACGGAUGGAGACCCCGGGGAAGUUGGAAACCUCCUCCAGACCUCUGGCUCCUGACACUGAAGACUUCACCGCAGCCUCUCAUUGCCCGCAGACCUCUUUCUAAGGCUUCACUGGCAAGAAAAGCACAGUGGUGGCCAUGGAGGUGGGGAUGCAGCAAUGUGCAGAAAGCAGUCCAGUAGGGGGCGCAGCGUGGAGCUAUGCGGCAGGAUGAUGUAAAUGCAGCUGAGUCCCACGUGACAAGGAGAGCUCAGCUGGUCAUCUGACCCUUCAUGCAGUGUGUCCCUUUGACCUUUUUGAGCUAAUUCCCCAAUCUGAGUAGGG